rnacentral:lncRNA from 1 species
GAAAAACACGCGAACUCUCUUGUUAGGUUAAAAAAGUACUGACCCGGCCGGGUCAAACAAGAUAUCAGGGAUUCCUUACCAUUUUCCCCUAAAUUGCGACUCUCCUCUCUAUUCUACCAUCGUCGAGCGACUGGUCUCGAAGCUCUAAAGCUCGUCGGACGUCGUGGUCUCUCUCCGGCCAGUCUCUUCGUGGUCUCAGUUGAAAACAAACGGGUAAGGGUUUAGCUUUUUGUACUUUCUUCCUUGAAUCUUGCUGCUUUUGUAAGGGUAUGACUAUGGUAAAUUAUUGCAUGUUAGGUCUCUCUUCUACCAUCAUCAAGCGACGUUUCUCGAAGCUCGCCGGACGUCGUGGUCUCUCUCCGGCU